GAUGAACGCUGGCGGCGUGCCUAAUACAUGCAAGUCGAGCGAACAGACGAGGAGCUUGCUCCUCUGACGUUAGCGGCGGACGGGUGAGUAACACGUGGAUAACCUACCUAUAAGACUGGGAUAACUUCGGGAAACCGGAGCUAAUACCGGAUAAUAUAUUGAACCGCAUGGUUCAAUAGUGAAAGACGGUUUUGCUGUCACUUAUAGAUGGGUCCGCGCCGCAUUAGCUAGUUGGUAAGGUAACGGCUUACCAAGGCGACGAUGCGUAGCCGACCUGAGAGGGUGAUCGGCCACACUGGAACUGAGACACGGUCCAGACUCCUACGGGAGGCAGCAGUGGGGAAUCUUCCGCAAUGGGCGAAAGCCUGACGGAGCAACGCCGCGUGAGUGAUGAAGGUCUUCGGAUCGUAAAACUCUGUUAUUAGGGAAGAACAAAUGUGUAAGUAACUAUGCACGUCUUGACGGUACCUAAUCAGAAAGCCACGGCUAACUACGUG
rnacentral:rRNA from 1 species